rnacentral:lncRNA from 1 species
GCUUUGGAUGCAACUUGCCUGUCUCAUCCCCUCAGGCCCAUCACCCAAACAAAACUCAGAGCCUUCUCCCCUGGGGUGCUCUGUUUCCUGCAUGAAUCUUGCUCUCAUCUCCCCGUCCGUGCCCAUCCUAGAUGGGGUGCCAGGGCCAAGGGUCUUUAGGAUUUUCACCUCCUGUGUCAGCAUCAAGUUCCCCAUUCCCCAGGAUGCAUGAAGGUGGG